AGCAGCAUGGCGCAGCUGGAAGCGCGCAGGGCCCAUAACAUGGUUACCCUGAGGUCAGUCGAUCGAAACGACUUGCUGCUA